rnacentral:rRNA from 1 species
GACGUAGGGCGCAAGCGUUGUCCGGAUUUAUUGGGCGUAAAGAGCUCGUAGGCGGCUCGUUGCGUCGGCUGUGAAAACCCGCAGCUCAACUGUGGGCUUGCAGCCGAUACGGGCGGGCUGGAGUUCGGUAGGGAGACUGGAAUUCCUGGUGUAGCGGUGAAAUGCGCAGAUAUCAGAGGAACACCGGUGGCGAAGGCGGGUCUCUGGGCCGAUACUGACGCUGAGGAGCGAAAGCGUGGGGAGCGAACAGG